rnacentral:rRNA from 1 species
AAUAGAUACCCGGGUAGUCCACGCCGUAAACGAUGUCGACUUGGAGGUUGUUCCCUUGAGGAGUGGCUCCCGGAGCUAACGCGUUAAGUCGACCGCCUGGGGAGUACGGCCGCAAGGUUAAAACUCAAAUGAAUUGACGGGGGCCCGCACAAGCGGUGGAGCAUGUGGUUUAAUUCGAUGCAACGCGAAGAACCUUACCUACUCUUGACAUCCACGGAACUUAGCAGAGAUGCUUUGGUGCCUUCGGGAACCGUGAGACAGGUGCUGCAUGGCUGUCGUCAGCUCGUGUUGUGAAAUGUUGGGUUAAGUCCCGCAACGAGCGCAACCCUUAUCCUUUGUUGCCAGCGGUCCGGCCGGGAACUCAAAGGAGACUGCCAGUGAUAAACUGGAGAAGGUGGGGAUGACGUCAAGUCAUCAUGGCCCUUACGAGUAGGGCUACACACGUGCUACAAUGGCGCAUACAAAGAGAAGCGACCUCGCGAGAGCAAGCGGACCUCAUAAAGUGCGUCGUAGUCCGGAUUGGAGU